UCCUGGCUCAGGAUGAACGCUAGCUACAGGCUAACACAUGCAAGUCGAGGGGCAGCAUUGGAGUAGCAAUACUCAGAUGGCGACCGGCGCACGGGUGAGUAACACGUAUCCAACCUGCCGCUUACUCGGGGAUAGCCUUUCGAAAGAAAGAUUAAUACCCGAUGGUAUAAAGAGUUCGCAUGUUCUCUUUAUUAAAGAAUUUCGGUAAGCGAUGGGGAUGCGUUCCAUUAGAUUGUUGGCGGGGUAACGGCCCACCAAGUCUACGAUGGAUAGGGGUUCUGAGAGGAAGGUCCCCCACAUUGGAACUGAGACACGGUCCAAACUCCUACGGGAGGCAGCAGUGAGGAAUAUUGGUCAAUGGACGAGAGUCUGAAUCAGCCCAAGUAGCGUGAAGGAUGACUGCCCUAUGGGUUGUAAACUUCUUUUAUAAGGGAAUAAAGUGAGGGACGUGUCCCUUUUUGUAUGUACCUUAUGAAUAAGGAUCGGCUAACUCCGUGCCAGCCGCCGC
rnacentral:rRNA from 1 species